GUGGGGAGGGAGAGAGAGAAGGAGAAAUCACAGCCAGGUAAGAGAGGUGGGGAGGGAGAGAGAGAGAGAAGGAGAAAUCACAGCCAGGUAAGAGAGGUGGGGAGGGAGAGAGAGAAGGAGAAAUCACAGCCAGGUAAGAGAGGUGGGGAGGGAGAGAGAGAGAGAAGGAGAAAUCACAGCCAGGUAAGAGAGGUGGGGAGAGAGAGAGAGAGAAGGAGAAAUCACAGCCAGGUAGAGAGGUGGGGAGGGAGAGAGAGAGAGAAGGAGAAAUCACAGCCAGGUGAGAGAGGUGGGGAGGGAGAGAGAGAGAAGGAGAAAUCACAGCCAGGUGAGAGAGGUGGGGAGGGAGAGAGAGAGAAGGAGAAAUCACAGCCAGGUAAGAGAGGGGGGAGGA